rnacentral:rRNA from 1 species
UACGGAGGGAGCAAGCGAUACUCGGAAUCACUGGGCGUAAAGGGCGCGUAGGCGGCCUAGCAAGUCUGGUGUGAAAGCCCAGGGCUCAACCCUGGAAGGGCACUGGAAACUGUUAGGCUUGAGUUCCGGAGAGGAGGGGGGAAUUCCCGGUGUAGCGGUGAAAUGAGUAGCUAUCGGGAGGAAUACCGUUGGCGAAGGCUCCCCUCUGGACGGAAACUGACGCUGAGGCGCGAAAGCGUGGGGAGCAAACAGG